AUUGAACGCUGGCGGCAUGCUUUACACAUGCAAGUCGAACGGCAGCACGGGAGCAAUCCUGGUGACGAGUGGCGAACGGGUGAGUAAUGCAUCGGAACGUACCUUUCAGUGGGGGAUAACGUAGCGAAAGUUACGCUAAUACCGCAUAUUCUGUGAGCAGGAAAGCAGGGGAUCGCAAGACCUUGCGCUGAUUGAGCGGCCGAUGUCAGAUUAGCUAGUUGGUGAGGUAAAGGCUCACCAAGGCGACGAUCUGUAGCGGGUCUGAGAGGAUGAUCCGCCACACUGGAACUGAGACACGGUCCAGACUCCUACGGGAGGCAGCAGUGGGGAAUUUUGGACAAUGGGGGCAACCCUGAUCCAGCCAUGCCGCGUGAGUGAAGAAGGCCUCGGUUGUAAGACUCUUUCGUCCGGGUAACGGAAAUACGCAUGGUUAAGUACCCUACGUGUCGGAGUGACGGUACCGGCCGAGUAAGAAGACACCGGCUAACUACGUACG
rnacentral:rRNA from 1 species